UCAAGCUACUAAGAGCGUAGAGUGGAUGCCUUGGCACCGAGAGCCGAUGAAGGACGUGAUAAGCUGCGAAAAGCUACGGGGAGUUGCAAAUAAACUUUGAUCCGUAGAUAUCCGAAUGGGGAAACCUGGCAGAGCAAACCUCUGUCAUCCUACAGCCAAUACAUAACUGUAGGAGGGGAACGAAGGGAACUGAAACAUCUAAGUACCUUCAGGAGGAGAAAGAAAAAUCGAUUUCCUAAGUAGCGGCGAGCGAAAGGGAAACAGGCCAAACCAGAUUACUUGUAAUCUGGGGUUGAGGACUGCGACGUGGCAAGAAUGCGGAUAGCUGAAGAGUCUGGAAAGUCUCAUCAAAGAGGGUGAUAAUCCCGUAAGCGAAAUCCAAGUGAAGCCUAGCAGUAUCCAGAGUACCACGAGACACGAGAAACCUUGUGGGAAGCCGGAGGGACCACCCUCCAAGCCUAAAUACUCCUCGGUGACCGAUAGCGCAUAGUACUGUGAAGGAAAGGUGAAAAGAACCCCGGGAGGGGAGUGAAAGAGAACCUGAAACUCUAUGUUUACAAGCAGUGGAAGCGCCAUAUGAUGCGCGACCGCGUACUUUUUGUAGAACGGUCCGGCGAGUUAUUUGUUGUGGCAAGGUUAAGUACCAGGAGGUACGGAGCCGAAGGGAAACCAAGUCUGAAUAGGGCGAAAGAAAAGUCACAAUAAAUAGACCCGAAACCGGGUGACCUACCCAUGGGCAGGAUGAAGUUACCGUAAAAGGUAAUGGAGGUCCGAACUCACAUCUGUUGAAAAAGGUGGAGAUGACCUGUGGGUAGCGGAGAAAUUCCAAUCGAACCCGGAGAUAGCUGGUUCUCCUCGAAAUAGCUUUAGGGCUAGCGUUGAUAGGAGUCUAAUGGAGGUAAAGCACUGAAUUGCCUAGGGGGCCCACAAGCUUACCGAAGCAUAUCAAACUAAGAAUGCCAUCAAGAUACCGUCAGCAGUCAGACUACGAGUGAUAAGACACGUGGUCAAAAGGAAAACAGUCCAGACCAUCAGCUAAGGUCCCAAAGUGUGUGUUAAGUGGAAAAGGAUGUGAGAUUUCGAAGACAACUAGGAUGUUGGCUUAGAAGCAGCCACUCAUUCAAAGAGUGCGUAAUAGCUCACUAGUCGAGAGAUCUUGCGCCGAAAAUGUCCGGGGCUAAAACACACCACCGAAGCUAUGGAAUACAUUCAUAAUGAAUGGAUUGGUAGAGGAGCGUUGUAACAACGCUGAAGCAGUACCGUAAGGAGCUGUGGAGUAAUUACAAGUGAGAAUGCCGGAAUGAGUAGCGAGAUACAAGUGAGAAUCUUGUAGGCCGAAUAUCCAAGGUUUCCAGAGUAAAGCUGAUCUGCUCUGGGUAAGUCGGGACCUAAGGCGAGGACGAAAGUCGUAGUCGAUGGACAACUGGUUCAUAUUCCAGUACUACCUAUUAUCAGAACUGCAGGGACGCAGGAGGAUAGGCAAUCCCAGGAAUGGUAUCCUGGGCCAAGCACAAAGUCGCACCUCUAAGGAAAAACCGAGAGGCGAGGAUGAAGUGUGAUGGGGAUCGAAAUUUAAGUAGAGAAGUUGCUAAAUCCACACUGCCGAGAAAAGCUGCUAUUGCGUGAUAGGUACCCGUACCGUAAACCGACACAGGUGGAUGAGGAGAGAAUCCUAAGGCCGACGGGAGAAGCGUUGUUAAGGAACUCGGCAAAAUGACCCCGUAACUUAGGGAGAAGGGGUGCCUACUUCGGUAGGCCGCAGAGAAUAGGCCCAAGCAACUGUUUAACAAAAACACAGGUCUUUGCUAAACCGAAAGGUGAUGUAUAAGGGCUGACGCCUGCCCGGUGCUGGAAGGUUAAGGGGAGAGGUUAGUCGUAAGGCGAAGCUUUGAACUUAAGCCCCAGUAAACGGCGGCCGUAACUAUAACGGUCCUAAGGUAGCGAAAUUCCUUGUCAGGUAAGUUCUGACCCGCACGAAAGGCGUAAUGAUUUGGGCACUGUCUCGACA
rnacentral:rRNA from 1 species